UAGUGGUUUAGUGGUAAAAUAGCUGUUUGCCAUGCGGCUGCCCCGGGUUCGAUUCCCGGCU
rnacentral:ncRNA from 14 species